UGCCCUUUAAUCUUGUAGUCCUAAACAUACUAUGUAGAAAAUUGAAAUUAAAGUAUUGCAAAAAAAAAGGGCUAUUCUUUUUUGAAACGGACUAAAAAAAAGUAGGUCAUUCUCUUUUAAACAGAGGGAAUACAUUUUUAACCCCACUCUAUCAUUAAAUACAAAAAAAAAUUCUCUCUCAUCUUCUCUCGUUACUCUCUCCCACUUCAUCUCCCCUUUCCACCAUUUUUCAAUUUCGAGCUUGUAUAAAUCAUCUCUAACUUCGAUCUUCAACUUCAGAUAAGUUAUAUUCAUCUUUUGAUUAAUUUGUGCUCUAUAUUAAUGAGUUUUUUUAUUUUAUUUUUUUCGAAUUCGUUGUGGCGGUUGAACUCGUUGGAGUUAAAAAAAUUUGAUUUUUUUUUGAAUAUGGGGCUUGAUUUUACUGAAAUUGGUUGUUUUUAGUUGAUAUUUACUUGAUUGUUGAUGGAUGAUUGGUGUAUAUCGAUUAUCCUUGGCGAUUGCAUGUUGAAAUUUCAUCACUAAUUUUGUCGAAAUGUGGCAAGAUAUGUGAUUUUUGUUCAAACUUUUCUCCAAUAUAAUGGUGUUGUAGAAGCACGUUCAUGUUUGGGAUUCCUAUUGGUUUGAAUCAUAUUCGUAUUUGAUAUUUGGACCCGAAAAAUUAUUUUUUUAAAAAAAAAAUGGGGUUUGAUUUUACUUAAAAUUUGUGUUUUUAAGUUGGUAUUUGGUUUGUCGUGCAUUAUUUUUGUUGGAUUUUAAUUUCCCUCGAUGAUUGCGUUGAGAUUUUUUUGCCAAUUUUUCUCUAUUUUCGUGCUAAAAAUUCUAGUUCAUUUCUAUUUUUGUUCAAUAGAAUGGUGAUUUAGAUGAAUGUUCUUAUGGGUGAUGGAGUUGUUUUGGAAGAAACUUCUUCUACAAAUAGGUUUUUUUGGUGUUGCAACUGUUGUCAUGUUAAUAGACUGUUAGGUCGAUUAGGUAUUGUAUUUGUUGAUAGAGUUGAGAAAUGUUAUUUUUUGUCCGUAGAUCAUAACAAAUGGCUAGAGGUAACAAACACAAGGCUGUAGAAGUUGAUAGAUCUGAGAAAAAAACGAGUAGUCAAUGAAUCAGAGAAUAGAAAUUACAGCGAGGAAGCUAUUGAAGCUUCGGUUCGAAAUGAGCCGGAGGAAAUAAAAAUUGAGGCUAGGAUAGAUGAGGAAGCAUUGAUCUUGCCCACUGUGCAAGGUUUAUUUCGACUGAGAGAUACGACCUCACUAUAGUCCUGGAUGAUGUCGGAUCAUUUCCGGCUAAGAUAUCCAUUAUGUCCCAUUUAAAAAUGUUUUAUGAAUUCAAACAAGUCAUGGUUGAUCAACGUCUGAAGUCUAGGUUUAAGAAUUCCUGGUUUGGUGGUUUACGGGACUUUCCAGAACAUAGAAAGUUUAACGGACAUCUUGUCCACUAUACACUUCUUCGCCGAGUUAAACAGGACAACAAACUGCAUGAAAUAUGGUUCGGCAUCUAUGACAGUCCUGAAGGAGUUUGCGCUAAUCACGACUUUAAAUUGUGGGCGUUAUCCCCAUGAUUCAAAAUAUGUCAAAGCGAUGGAAAAGGGUGAAGCUUUUUUGAAAAAGAUUGCGAAAAAAAGAGGAGUGUAAAUGCAAAAAAAUUGUUGAAGCUUAUUAGAGGUGAGAGGCUGGACAAGGAGGACAAGUUCAAAUGCUACUUGGUUUGGUUCGUGCACUGCAUAUUGUUUGCACACGACUUGUCAAAAAUCGUGGACAUAGACACCAUCAAGAUGGUGGAUAACUUGGGCUUCUUUGAGAGAUACCCUUGGGGUAAGAAGUCAUUUACCUUGACUCUAGACUAUCUAAAGAAGCGGACAGACUUCAGCAGGCAGAAGAAGACAUUUGUGACAAAGGGAAUUUCAUCAUACGCGCUCUACAGAUUUCCCUGGGCAUUUAUGGUAUUUGAUUAUAAACCAUUGAAGUAUUUUAUUAUAUACUGUAAUUCAUCUAUGGUAUGUAUACUAUACUGACUCUCAGUUAUAUGUUUUUGUUUUUUCUUUUGAUCACAAAUUUGGAUAUACGAAGCCUUUCCUGCGUUUGGCAGGGAAAAUGGUAAAUCAACUGAAGACUCACUGCCCAUUCCCCGAUUGCUCAGAUGACACACCUCAAAAGAAGAUAAACUAAUCGAAGGUGAUCCAUAUUUGAACGGAUGGAGCAUAAAGAGAGUGCACCCGUACCUCAUCCCCACAGUCCGUGAAAUGAAGCAACACUACAUGAAAAAGUUUAAAGCAUCACAGACGAACCAAAAGACACAUUCAUCGAUGGCUUGCAGGCCCAUCUGGAGGGUGUAACUGUCAUCACCUCAUCGAAUGGUGAGGAUGGAGAUGAUGACCGGGAUUUGGGUGGAUAUACUGUUUCAAGGAAUGUUACUCGGGGUACGGGGACAAGUAAGCUGAAAGAAUUGGGAAAGAUAUCGAUGAUUGAAAAUCUGAAAGAACGCGUGUUUACGCUGGAGGAGUCGAUCAAGGACAUCAUUGAUUUUCUGAAAGAAGAGAGGCUGAGGAGAGCAGAAAAGGAGAAGCAAAAGAAGAGAGAUGAAGAUGAAGGUGUGCAGGUGCAAAGUCAGCAUUCAGCGGCAAGGGUUGUCCGCGAUGAUAGCGACAUUAAAGAAGCGCUCCUUAAGGUAGUAGCUUUAGAACAGGCCUCGAUCAAUGCUGAUGAGGUGAUGAUCCCUAGAAGGAAAAUCUAGAUAAAAGCGAUAAAGAGAAAGAAGAAGAAGAAAUGAAGAAGCUGUUUGUGAAAAAGAAAACAAAGCUGAUGGAUCAGCUGGUGUGGAGAAGGAGGAUCAUGAUGAAGACAGGCAGAAUGAAGAAGAUAAAAAUGAGAAAAGUGUUUGUGAAGAAGAAAAUAAUGAAGGAGAUGAAUAGAAAGUAGAAGAGAAGAAUGCAGGAGAAGUAGAGAAAGAAGAGGGAGAAGAAAUUAUGCAUCAGAAAAAGAAGGCAUCGCGGAGAAAGAAAAUAAAAAUGAAAAUGAAUUUCCGAACUUAGAUGAAUUUCUUAAUGAAGUUACUCAGGAAAUCAACAAGAUGCAA